AGUGAACGUUGGCGGCGUGGAUUAGGCAUGCAAGUCGAGCGAGAACCGUAGCAAUACGGGGACAGCGGCGAAAGGGACAGUAAUGUGUAGGUACCUACCUCCGGGUUCGGGAUAGCUGCGGGAAACUGCAGGUAAUACCGAAUAACGUCUCCGGACCAAAGGUGUGAUUCCACCUGGAGAGGGACCUGCAUCCUAUUAGUUUGUUGGCGGGUUAACGGCCCACCAAGGCGAAGAUGGGUAGCGGGUGUGAGAGCACGACCCGCGUAGUUGGGACUGAGACACUGCCCAGACACCUACGGGUGGCUGCAGUCGUGAAUCUUCGGCAAUGGGCGCAAGCCUGACCGAGCGACGCCGCGUGCGGGAUGAAGGCCUUCGGGUUGUAAACCGCUGUCGUAGAGGAGGAAAUGCAGGGUGGUUCUCCCCUCUGUUUGACCUAUUCUAGGAGGAAGUACGGGCUAAGUUCGUGCCAGCAGCCGCAGUAA
rnacentral:rRNA from 1 species